UACGUAGGGGGCAAGCGUUGUUCGGAAUGACUGGGCGUAAAGGGUGCGUAGGCGGUGUAGCAAGUUAGAAGUGAAAUACCUAGAGCUUAACUCAGGUGCUGCUUCUAAAACUGCUAUACUUGAGUGCAGUAGAGGAAAGUGGAAUUCCUAGUGUAGCGGUGGGAUGCGUAGAUAUUAGGAGGAACAUCAGUGGCGAAGGCGACUUUCUGGACUGUAACUGACGCUGAGGCACGAAAGUGUGGGGAGCAAACAGG
rnacentral:rRNA from 1 species